AAUGAACGUUGGCGGCGUGGAUUAGGCAUGCAAGUCGUGCGCGAACUGUAGCAAUACAGGGAAAGCGGCGUAAGGGAGAGUAAUACGUAGGUAUCUACCCAUGGGUCUGGGAUAGCGGCGGGAAACUGCCGGUAAUACCAGAUAACGUCUCCGGACCAAAGGUGUGAUUCCACCUGUGGAGGAGCCUACGGCCUAUUAGCUAGUUGGCAGGGUAACGGCCUACCAAGGCUUGGAUGGGUACGGGGUGUGAGAGCAUGCCCCCCGCUCACUGGGACGUGAGACACUGCCCACGANACCUACGGGUGGGCUGCAGUCGAGAAU
rnacentral:rRNA from 1 species